AUAACUUUUGCAUUAUUGAAGAUAGAAACUUGAUAUUUGGCAUGCAUGUGUAUCUCAUGAAGCUGCACAUUUUGAGUGGUGGAAGUUCAAGGUCAUCCUUCAAGGUCAAAGGUAAAAAAAAUAAAAUCAAAGCGGCGUUCUCAUGAAGCUGCACAUUUUAAGUGGUGGAAGUUCAAGGUCAUCCUUCAAGGUCAAAGGUAAAAAAAUAAUAAAAAAUUUCAAAGCGGCGCAAUAGGGAGCAUUGUGUUUCUGACGAACACAUCUCUUGUUUGUUUUGUUUCAAUUUAUGAUAUUGUUAAUUUUCUUUAUUUCAUUGGUUGUUAGCAUAGUAAGUGUAUUGUAUUGAUUUGGGACCAAACCCUUACAGAAUUGUACAUACCUAUUGAAGCUUGUCAGUUGUUAUUUAUGUGUGUUAAUUAAGUGGUUUUUGUUAUAAAUUCAGCAUGUACAUGUAUCUAAAUGCAAAUCUUUAGUUUGAGUUGUUACUUUAUACAAAGCAGUGUACAGUAACAAAACAAGUUUUGGCAAAAUUGAAAGCAUAGUUAAGCUUUUCAAUAUUGUGAAAUAAUAUUAGCAAUUUUGUGUUAAAACGGCUGAUCAUUCAUGAGUUUCUUGCAAAGGUUCAUCUUGCUUACGAGUAAAUCAAGUAAUGAUAAAUCAUGUAUUAUAUAGACAUAUAUCAAAAAACAUUUGAUGCAAGAGUGAUUACAACGUAUUGUACAAUUUUAAGUAAAGAAUAUCAGUGUAUGAUUUAAAUUAUGUGAAGGUGUACAUUUUGUAAAUAAUUGUUUGACAUCUUUGCUUUUAAGAAUUGAAUUUAUAUGUAUGUAUAUUUACCGAUCUAAUUCAUGAGCACUCUACAUUAAUUUAAGAAUAAUACAUAUUUUGGACAUUUCAAGUGAUUGAAAGAAAGAGCUUUUUCCAUAGCUCACCAUGAAAUGCUUAAAGAUGCAGAAUCUUUACCGUUUUCUGUUGAUAUCUGUGGUUUCAAAAACCUACUUGCAAUAUAAAAGUUAUUAUAAAAAAACAGGUAAAAAAUACUUGGUGGCUUUUCACUUUGAAUCACCUGCUUUGACAAUUAUCUCCAGAAAUAUUUCUUUAAAUGGGCAUGACUAAACAGCAGAAUGUCAACAAACAAACCUGUAGAUGGACCAGACUUAAAGGCUAUAAACACUCAAGUUUUAAUGUCUACAUUAAUUAUCAAAAGUCCAUGUGUUAGGUUUUAGAAAAGUAUGCGCAUAUUUGCAAAAAAAGCCAUUAUUUCAAAGAUUCAGCAUCUUUAUGUUUUCUCUACCUGAAAAAAAAAUGUUUUGAACUUAUUUGUUUCUAAUAAAAAUUGUAAAUUUAUGGCUAUGUGAAGUGUAAGUAUAUGUUUAUUUAUAGAUGAUUGAAGAUUAAAUGUUAUGUAUUGAAAAAUGACAUGUAUUAACUCUAUAUUUCGCUAUUGCGUGUCUUAUUUAAAUUUUGAAACGCAGGCUGUCAGUUGUGUUCUUUUCAUUUAUCUAAAAUCACAAACAUAACCGUGUUUGGAAAUCACAAAGGAUUUCCAUAUUGUAAUUUUUGGAACUGAAAAAAGCUUGAUCUAUAUUUGUGUGUGUUUAAUCUUGUAGAGUCCUGUAACUCACUGUUUUAUUAAGUGCAUGAAUAACACAAAUAAUUCUGAUUAACUUUUGUAUUUGUUUUAUUCCUUUGUCUAUAGCUCACCUUAGCACAAAGUGCUAAUGCUAGAGCUAUUGUGGUCACCCUAUGUGCAACGUCACGAGUAGUACCUGGUAAACUUUUAGCUCGUUAACACUCUAGAAGCCACCUUUUUCAUCCAAUGAAUCAACUUUGGUCAAAAUGUUUAUGAUAAAUAUUCAUGCCAAGUUCCAAUCUUGGUCAUUCACAUUGGAAACUUAGGUCUUCAUACCAAAUUUCAGAAAAACCUUGUUCAAAUCUAGAGGACUUAUAACUCAACCUUGAUGAAGCUUGGUCAGAAUGUUUUAUCUUGACAAUAUCUGAGGCAUGUUGAAAUAAGGGUCUAGUGUGGUCAAUAUCUAGGUUAUCAUCUAUGUCAUGUUGAAAUAAGGGUCUAGUGUGGUCAAUAUCUAGGUUAUCAUCUAUGUCAUGUUGAAAUAAGGGUCUAGUGUGGUCAAUAUCUAGGUUAUCAUCUAUGGCAUGUUGAAAUAAGGGUCUAGUGUGGUCAAUAUCUAGGUUAUCAUCUAUGGCAUGUUGAAAUAAGGGUCUUGUGGGUCAAUAUCUAAGUUAUCAUCUAUGGCAUGUUUAAAUAAGGGUCUUGUGGGGUCAAUAUCUAGGUUAUCAUCUAUGUCAUGUUGAAAUAAGGGUCUAGUGUGGUCAAUAUCUAGGUUAUCAUCUAUGGCAUGUUGAAAUAAGGGUCUUGUGGGUCAAUAUCUAGGUUAUCAUCUAUGGCAUGUUGAAAUAAGGGUCUUGUGUGGUCAAUAUCAAGGUUAUCAUCUAUGGCAUGUUGAAAUAAGGGUCUUGUGGGUCAAUAUCUAGGUUAUCAUCUAUGGCAUGUUUAAAUAGGGGUCAUGUGGGUCAAUAUCUAGGUUAUCAUCUAUGGCAUGUUGAAAUAAGGGUCAUGUGGGUCAAUAUCUAGGUUAUCAUCUAUGGCAUGUUGAAAUAAGGGUCAUGUGGGUCAAUAUCUAGGUUAUCAUCUAUGGCAUGUUGAAAUAAGGGUCAUGUGGGUCAAUAUCUAGGUUAUCAUCUAUGGCAUGUUUAAAUAAGGGUCAUGUGUGUCAAUAUCUAGGUUAUAAUCUAUGGCAUGUUAAAAUAAGGGUCAUGUGGGUCAAUAUCUAGUUUAUCAUCUAUGGCAUGUUGAAAUAAGGGUCAUCGUGGGUCAAUAUCUAGGUCAUCAAGUCAAGACCUUCACAUAUGGCGUCCCUUGAACUCUGACGAGCUCUUAAUGGCCCUCUUUUUCUUAAAGAAUGGCAUGAACUGCUAAUAUUUUGUGAAUAUGUUUUUUUUUAUCAUUGCAAUUAUUUAUCAAGAUGUUUAAUUCAUGAUGCAUGUACAGAUUUUUUUUGUUAAAAAGUGACAGAAUAAAAAUCAAUUUAAUGCUAAUGCCAAAAUGUAUUUUUGCAAAGAUGUUGAACACGCACAAGAUUAUAUUAUUACUAUUAUUAGUUUUUGUGUGAUCAAACAUUGUCUGGCUUUGUAUGUUAUUAACAUAAAUAAUUCGACCACACUAAAGACUAUAGUUUUGGUUCAAUCAAACUGAAAAGGUUUAUCCUGCUUACAUCAAGGCCACAAUUAGAGCUGUCAAGUGGCGAUAAAAAAUCAGGUCAGCUUGUCUAUAAACUUAGAAGCCAUAUUUAUUAUUACGACCUUCUGCGUUUAUCAGAAAGUUUGUCUUUACAAAACCAGGUUCAUAUUUGGGUACAAAAUCAAGCUAUAAACCAGACCAAGCCUUCAACUAUUUGUGUACCUUAAACUCAAGCCAGCUCUUCGGGGCCAUCAUGGCCCUCUGUCCCUUUGAAUUAACUGCUCAUAUUUUGGUAAAGUAUUUGUUGUCAUGACAGUGAAUUGUUUAUGUAUAAUCAAUAAUAAUUAUUUAUGAUGAAAAAUAAAGCUUCAGAAAAGAU